rnacentral:rRNA from 1 species
GGGGGGACGAGGGUGACGAGGUGGUGCAUGGUUGUCGUCAGCUCGUGUCGUGAGAUGUUGGGUUAAGUCCCGCAACGAGCGCAACCCUCGACCUUAGUUGCCAGCAUUCAGUUGGGCACUCUAAGGUGACUGCCGGCUAAAAGUCGGAGGAAGGUGGGGAUGACGUCAAAUCAUCAUGCCCCUUAUGACCUGGGCUACACACGUGCUACAAUGGGCGGUACAAAGGGUCGCGAACCCGCGAGGGGGAGCCAAUCCCAAAAAGCCGCUCUCAGUUCGGAUUGCAGGCUGCAACUCGCCUGCAUGAAGCCGGAAUCGCUAGUAAUCGCGGAUCAGCAUGCCGCGGUGAAUACGUUCCCGGGCCUU